CGUCAAAUCAUCAUGCCCCUUAUGUCUUGGGCUACACACGUGCUACAAUGGUUGGUACAAAGGGCUGCAAGCCAGCGAUGGUUAGCCAAUCCCAUAAAGCCAAUCUCAGUUCGGAUUGUAGGCUGCAACUCGCCUACAUGAAGUCGGAAUCGCUAGUAAUCGCAGAUCAGCAUGCUGCGGUGAAUACGUUCCCGGGUCUU
rnacentral:rRNA from 1 species